rnacentral:rRNA from 1 species
AACGAACGCUGGCGGCAUGCCUAACACAUGCAAGUCGAACGAGACCUUCGGGUCUAGUGGCGCACGGGUGCGUAACGCGUGGGAACCUGCCCUUAGGUUCGGAAUAACUCCCCGAAAGGGGUGCUAAUACCGGAUAAUGUCUUCGGACCAAAGAUUUAUCGCCUUUGGAUGGGCCCGCGUUGGAUUAGCUAGUUGGUAGGGUAAAAGCCUACCAAGGCGACGAUCCAUAGCUGGUCUGAGAGGAUGAUCAGCCACACUGGGACUGAGACACGGCCCAGACUCCUACGGGAGGCAGCAGUGGGGAAUCUUGGACAAUGGGCGAAAGCCUGAUCCAGCAAUGCCGCGUGAGUGAUGAAGGCCUUAGGGUUGUAAAGCUCUUUUACCCGGGAUGAUAAUGACAGAACCGGGAGAAUAAGCUCCGGCUAACUCCGU